GACGUAGGGCGCGAGCGUUGUCCGGAUUUAUUGGGCGUAAAGAGCUCGUAGGCGGCUUGUCGCGUCGAAUGUGAAAACUCGGGGCUCAACUCCGAGCUUGCAUUCGAUACGGGCAGGCUAGAGGUAGGUAGGGGAGAAUGGAAUUCCCGGUGUAGCGGUGAAAUGCGCAGAUAUCGGGAGGAACACCGGUGGCGAAGGCGGCAUCCUGGACCAACACUGACACUGAGGAGCGAAAGCCAGGGGAGCAAACGGG
rnacentral:rRNA from 1 species